rnacentral:rRNA from 1 species
UGUUUUAGUGGCGGACGGGUGAGUAACGCGUGGGCAACCUGCCUUACACCGGGGGAUAACACUUAGAAAUAGGUGCUAAUACCGCAUAACAGGAGAACAUGCAUGUGUUUUCCUUGAAAACCACGGUGGUGUAAGAUGGACCCGCGUCUGAUUAGCUUGUUGGCAGGGUAACGGCCUACCAAGGCGACGAUCAGUAGCCGGCCUGAGAGGGUGGACGGCCACAUUGGGACUGAGACACGGCCCAGACUCCUACGGGAGGCAGCAG